GAAAGGAUCAGUCGACGUCGGGGGGGCAAACUGCCGCUCGUCAUUCCAGAAGGGAGGUUAAGGCCGGAGACACCUCUUCUUGCUGCAAAGUUUGCAACCGAAUGCAACGUCACAGUCAGAGGCCAUGUGCCAGUGUCUAAACACUGGAAGGAUUACAAGGACCCAGAUGGAAAUGUCCGAGAAGGGAUCCUCCAGAACUUUGUAGGCAAAGUUGGUAACAAGUUUGAGAUGGACGUACAAGCUGUGCCAAUUAGGAAGGCUUGUACGCAAAUGCUAAAAGGUGCGAUUCACCAACAACGAUACAGGCUCAAGCAGAAGUAUUUCGAUCCUUUCCUACUCAAUUUGGUGACGAAAACUUCUCCAGUCCGCUCGAUGACUGAUGAACAAUGGAAUGAGCUUGUGGAAAGCUGGAAGGAUCCCAAAAAAUGGAGAUAUGUGGAAUUAAAAAAUAACCGUGCUCAAGUCAAGUUUCACCAAACUACUGGUUCGCGCAGCUACCCCGUGCACUGUGAUAACCUGGGAGACAAAUACAAGGAUAAAGAACCUACUGCACUAGAUUUAUUCAAGGAGUGCCACUACAGCAGCAAAAAGAAAGGCUACACUGAUGAUGUGCAAGCUGCA
rnacentral:rRNA from 1 species